UACAGAGGUCCCAAGCGUUGUUCGGAUUCACUGGGCGUAAAGGGUGCGUAGGUGGCGGGGUAAGUCGGAUGUGAAAUCUCGGAGCUCAACUCCGAAAUGGCAUUGGAAACUACCCUGCUAGAGGGUCGGAGGGGGACUGGAAUACUUGGUGUAGCAGUGAAAUGCGCAGAUAUCAGGAGGAACACCGAUGGCGAAGGCAGGUCUCUGGGCAUUAACUGACGCUGAGGAGCGAAAGCAUGGGGAGCGAACAGG
rnacentral:rRNA from 1 species